rnacentral:tRNA from 1 species
GGAAGGCAAUCGCAGCCGGUGCUGCGGCCGGGCUUCAAACCCGGUUGGGGGCGGCAGCCGCUCCCGGGUAGGUUCGACUCCUACUGCCUUCCGCCA